GUGACCCAUCGCGGGAAGAAUAAAAUCCGGUAGUGGGCUGCUUCCAGGAAGAGCGAGAGCUGCAAGAGCCAACUACUGAAGCCGUGAGUCGUCGUGCGAGAGUGUUUAAGUGUGAUUUAUCUGCGGUAUUGGCCAGGUUGGAUGGUGAGCUAGAGCCUGAACUAGAGUCUGAAGCUUUAUUCCUGGAACCAAACCAACCGAACUGAAUCCACCCAACCGAGCCCCGGGCGGGUAGGAGGCUCCUCAGCAGCCGCUCUGUUUCUUCCCUUUGUUUUCCAUAAUGCAACGUGUUCAUUUCUGUCCUCCUGAACCUUCACAUUUAACCCGUUACCUUCACUAAAACCCCUCUGGACACUGCCACCACAACGUGGACUUUGUGAGGUCGUUUAAUGAACUGUCGUGUUGCGCUUAUACCAUCUUUGGUAAAAACAAGGACUGAAUCAAGUACUGUAUCACAUUGUAAAUAUUGAACGCUCUGUAACUUAUGUUGAAAAUGUGAAUGGCCAUUUGAAUUUACAUGUCUGUUUUUUUAUUUUUCCUAUAACUCUUUAAUAUAAUUUGGUACCAUUUAAACUUAAAUCCUGUGUUCAGUCUUCAUUACUCUCCAUUCCUAGAGCUGAAUUUAGUUUAUUCUGAUCCAGCCCAGUUAUAUAAUUCACUGUUUACCUAGUACAUGUACAGUGCUUUACUAAAGUAACUUACAGGCUACAAAAGGCCAUGUUAACACAGUGAUAAAAAUGCCCCUGUGCCAACUUUUUUUGCAAUGUGCUGCCGCCAUUCAAUUCUAAGUUAAUGAUUAUUUCCAAAAAUAAAGUUAGUUUCUCAGCUUGAACAUUAAACAUCUUGUUUUUGCAGUCUAUUUAAUUGAAUAUAAGUUUAAAAGCAUUUGCAAAUCAUUGUAUUCUGUUUUUAUUUACCAUUUACACAACGGGCUAACUUCACUGGUUUUGGAUUUUGUAAUUGAAAGGGAGAUAAUUGCUGAGCAUUUUGUCUGCUGUAAUGCUGCACAAUGUUGGGGACAUAUAGGAUUACAGUUGUCUGUGGCUUCAUGUCAAUAUCUACCUGUACUUAUUUGACUGAUUCAAGCUUUUUUUGUUAUGUAUUUAUUUUAUAUAUAUUAGGGAUGCACCGAAUAUAUUCGGCCGAAUAUGGCAAAAAAAGCCACAUUCGGCCUUCGGUGGAAUGAGUUAAAUGCAAGGCCGAAUAGUGGUGUAUGAUGCAAUUUUUGGACGCGGUGACGCAAUCAACCAACAUGCAGUGACGCGGUGACGUUGUAACCCGGCGCCUUCGGAAAAAUGUCAGCAAUGUGGAGAUAUUUUAAAGUGACAAAAGUAUUGCAGUUUGCAACGAAUGUUCAACCAAACGGUCUCGAGGAGGUGCCUCGUGGCCGACGUCUUUGAGAGGACGAAAAAGUUUGCGACUGACAGUGCCAAAGCAAACGGAAUUACAAAGAAGGUAAUGGAGUUUAUGGCUUUGGAUGAUCAACCGUUUAGUGUUGUGGAGGACAUUGACUUUCGGAGACUCCUGGAGCACAUUGAGCCCCGUUACACGAUACCGAGCAGACGGUAUUUAUCUGAUGUUUGCUCUUUACAUUGUGUGUGUGCUGUUUACAUUAUUAGCCUGUUGUGUUGGCUACCUGUAUGAGGUUACAAGCACACACUUAUUGAGAUUUAGUGGGGCCUCUGUUUACAUCAGUGGUUCCCAAAGUGGGCGGU